GAAAUGCGAUAAGUAGUGUGAAUUGCAGAAUUCAGUGAAUCAUCGAAUCUUUGAACGCUCAUUGCGCCCUUUGGUAUUCCUUGGGGCAUGCCUGUUCGAGCGUCAUCUAAACCUUCAAGCCCUGCUUGGUGUUGGGUGCCUGUCCCGCCUCCGCGCGCGGACUCACCUCAAAUCCAUUGGCGGCCCCCGCGUCGGCCACGAGCGCAGCAGAAACGCGAACUCGUGAGCCCGUCCGGGCGGCUCCCAGAAGCUACACCCACCCAGUUUGACCUCGGAUCAGGUAGGGAUACCCGCUGAACUUAAGC
rnacentral:misc_RNA from 1 species